CUCAAAGUUCUGCUGGAUGAAUGACGAGCUGAGGUCGUUCUCACUAUGUGACUAACAGCUGUCUCCUCAGAGCUCUAUCAUCACAAGCUUCAGGACAUUCUGCUGCAUGAAAGGAUGGGGGAGCAGCAAAGGGUGGUGCAGGCCCCUGGACACUACUUUGAGCUCUCCUCCAACUGCCUCAUCUUCCCCUGGACCUGGACAUGAAGUCUCUGAGCCAAUGCUGCUCAGAUAAUCUUUGAAAAUGUCGAAGAUGAGAUAUGUGUCUCUCCCAGCAGCAAAUGUGGAGCAGGAUGACAUGGGACGCAUCGCCUGUUCACACAGCCGCUCUCAAAGCCGUACAUCUCCUCAUCCCACAAGCUGCUUCAGCAAGCAUUGCUUUCUGAAAUUCUAGCUAACCGGGGAGCUUCUGUUCAAAUGACACUUGACGUGAAAUCUGAGACGGAAAGACCAAUCUAAGAACUGCUGUUGUGGAUAGGGAAAGGGUCCCACGGCCCUUCCUAUGGGCAUCUCAGCUUAUAAAAGUCUCUGCGUGGCUUCAUGGAGCAGGACUGAAAGCCCCAAGGAGAAGCUGGCUUCCGUGGCUGCACGCCAGCGGAGCUUCUUCGUCAUGUGACAGGAUAGCACUUUUACAAGCAACAAGCGACAUGUGAAACUUCACAAGUAGUGAAGCAAUGAGCUGGUGAGUAAGGGAAAUAAGAAUGUCAGUGUGGAGA
rnacentral:lncRNA from 1 species